AUACGUAGGUUGCAAGCGUUGUCCGGAUUUACUGGGUGUAAAGGGCGUGUAGGCGGAGAUGCAAGUUGGGAGUGAAAUCUAUGGGCUUAACCCAUAAACUGCCUCUCAAAACUGUAUCCCUUGAGUAUCGGAGAGGCAAGCGGAAUUCCUAGUGUAGCGGUGAAAUGCGUAGAUAUUAGGAAGAACACCAGUGGCGAAGGCGCUUCUCUGGACUGUAACUGACGCUGAGGCUCGAAAGCGUGGGGAGC
rnacentral:rRNA from 1 species